rnacentral:lncRNA from 1 species
ACCCUAGCCGCCGCUGCCAGCCAACCCACCUGCACCGGACCGGACCGCUGCCCAUCACCGGACGGACCCGACUCGGCGACUCCAGCCCCGCGACUCCCGCGAAGCCCCCUCUCUGUCUCCACUCUCGCCAGUCGAGUAUUAGACAGUCGCGCCGCGCCCGCAGCAGGCACCCUCGCCGCCUCUUCCAACAGCCGACGACCGACGCUCGCCGCGACCUCCUCCGAGUUAUGUUCUGAAGUGUUCUCUGCUGGAUCGGAAAACAAUAAAGCAUAUAAAAGAUAGAGGAAGUAGAGAGAUUCGCAGCAGCAGACCGGCGCAAUCCGCUCCCAGCAGAUCUCCGAUCGGAUCCC